rnacentral:lncRNA from 1 species
ACCUGUAAUCCCAACUACUUGGGAGGCUGAAGCAGGAGAAUCACUUGAGACUGGGAGGUGGAGGUUGCAGUGAGCCAAGAUCGCAUCACUGCACUCCAGCCUGGGUGACAGAGCAAGACUCUGUCUCAAAAAAAAAAAGAAGAAAAAAACCCAGACGUUUUUGAUUAUCACAAUUGAAGGGUAGGGAGUGCUCCUGGCUUCUAGUGGGUAGAAGCCAGGAAUGCCGCUAAACAUCCUACAGUGCACAGGGCAGCCCCCACCACAAAAAAUCAUCUGGCCCCAAAUGUCUGUAGCACUGCCACUGAAAAACUGUUCUCAUCCACCGAGAACUCUCUCUCUCUUCCUUGCAAGUCCUGGGCAAAAGGUUGUUUUUAGUAGCCCAGAGGGCCAUGGUGGUGACAGCUCCUCCCUGGGUGAUGCCAGGCUUCAGGGGGUCAGCAUCUUUGGAGGGUCCUCUAGGCAUAGACCCCAGCUUGGGCAAGCCACUUGGCUGCCCCUGCAUGGGUGACCCUGCCUGACUGCCCCUGGCUGCAACAGCCCCUUGCCGAGGCUUCUAGACCCUCAGAACCUCCCCCCUGCUGCUCUGGCUCUCAAGGUCCCACAGUAAAGCCACAGGAAUGAGAAGGAGCGAUGACAGUUCUCAUCAUCCCGUCAUCGUCACAGCAGACUGGUAGGUGCUUUACAGGUGACAAUGAGCUUUCACAUUCGUUGUCUCACCUGAAUACAUAAAAGCCUCACCCACUGUUAAAACAAUCUGAGUUCUUGACCUGCCAGACCAGUGGAACAUGCAGAGGCCACCUGUCCCCGAUGAGGGCCUGGGGGAGAGGGAGCCGUGCAUUCAUCUGGGGAGACCCCAGAGUCCAGAGCUGGGCAGAGGUGACAGCAGCCUGUCUAGGGGACCUGGGGGAAGCCAGGGUUCUGGCUGCUCCACGGCAGGCCCUGAGGUGGAGGGUCUAGACCCUGACCAGGCACCAGUCCUGCUGAAAUGAGGCUCCGGAAAUAGACGCACAUCACACUCCCUGGAGUAUUUUCUGGGCGGCCACAGAGUUCAGCAAAUAGUCAACAGAAAGCAUCUCCAAGAAGUGGGUGAACCGGAAGGACACAUGCCCAAGGCUGAUAUGGGAGGUGUUUGGGGACUUAGGGAAGAAGCAGGACAGAAAUAGGCCCAGCUCAUUAACUGCAUCUACAUAUGAAUUGCUUGACUUUUUUUUUUUUUUUUUUUCAGAGACAGGGUCUGGCUUUGUCACCCGCUGAGCUGCAGCACAGUGGCAUGAUCAUAGCUCACCAGAGCCUCAACCUCCCCGGCUCUCUGUUGUGCAAAAGGGAUUCACACACCUAGAGACAGGGCUGGAGCUGGGUGGCCAUGGGACUGACCUAGAGGGACAGCUCAUAUGCUCCACCAUUCUUGAGGGCAUCUACUUCCCAGCUAACAUGUAAAGCAAGAAAUUCAGACCAGGCACGGUGGCUCACACCUGUAAUCCUAAUGCUUUGGGAAGCUGAGGUGGGAGGAUCUCUUGAGCCCAGGAGUUUGAGACCAGCUUGGGCAACACAGGGAGAGGCCAUCUCUAAAAAAAUAUUUUAAAAUCAUCCAGGUGUGCACCUGUAGUCCCAGUUACUCAAGAGGCUGAGGAGGGAGGAUCGCUUGAACCCAGGAUUUUGAGGCUGCAGUAGGCUAUGAUCACACCACUGUACUCCAGCCUGAGCAACAGAGCAAGACCCUGUCUCUAAAAAUAAAAUAAAAUAAAUGCAAUGUGGGCAUAACAUCAUAUUUUGAGGACAUACUAUACAUUGAAAAAUGUCAAGGAAAAUGGAUAGGUUGAUAAUAUUCAAAAUAAUCUAAAGUGUGUGUGUGUGUGUGUGCAUGCGUGUGUGUAUGUGUCUUUAGUUCAAGAAUAUAUGGUGCAGGGCUGAGCACAGUGGCUCAUACCUGUAAUCCCAGAACUUUGGGAGGCCAAGGCCGGCAGAUCACUUGAGCCCAGGAGUUCGAAACCAGCCGGGGCAACAUGGUGAAACCCUGUCUCUAAAAAAUAAAAAAAAAUUAAAAAAAGAAUAUAUGGUGCAAAGGCAAAUAAAAGCAAUGUUUCCAGUGGGCUAGAUGGAGAAGUCCCUUUGCUGCCUCUCUGGGUCACAUGGGAGAAGCACAGUUCCCUGUAGCCCCCAUCCGGGGUCCUGGUACUCUGUAAAGGCUGCCAGACCUGGGGGUGAACCAGUGAUCUGGGAUGCAAGGGAGCAGGCAGUGGAAGAGACAGGAGCCAAGCAGAUACAAGUUCACCACACUGGGCCAUGCGUUCCUGGAGGAAACCUACUUCCUUCCAUCCACAGGGAAGGGACUCAACACAGAGUGUUUUUAUAAAGAGUGUCAGGACCCAAUGUCUGAAUGUGGGGGGAUAGCCCACGGCUGGCCCAAGGAACAUGUGUGGACCACCAAGCGCUGUCCUCUCUCUUCCUGUCCCCAUAUAGAGAUGAUUUGCUUUCCAAUCACAUCUACAAGUACUCGGUGUCUUUGGCCCUUGCCUGACCCCUGGUUCAUGGCAAAACCUACCCUUGGGUAAAUACCAGAUGCCCUGAUGUGGAAUGGGUUGGUGCCGCAGGAGACUCAUCUUCAGUGGAUUCUGCAUUUGAAUAUGGAAUACAUUUUCUUUUCUUUUCUUUUUUUGAGACAGAGGCUCGCUCUGUUGCCCAGGCUGGAGUGCAAUGACAUGC